rfam:Triticum aestivum genome assembly, contig: Triticum_aestivum_CS42_TGACv1_scaffold_514934_6BS
CAUAUACUCCCUUCGUCCGGAAAUACUUGUCGAAGGAAUGGAUGUAUCUAGACGUAUUUUAGUUCUAAGAUACAUUAAUUUUUAUUCAUUUCUCUGACAAAUAUUUUCGGACCGAGUGAGUAUUAU